AGCUCCAAUAGCGUAUAUUAAAGUUGUUGCAGUUAAAAAGCUCGUAGUUGGAUUUCUGGGAGGGUGCUAAUGCCCGCCGUAGCGCGCGCGCAGCAGCGCCCUUCCAUCCUUCUGUUAACGCCUCUUGGCAUUCAUUUGCUGGUGGCGGGCUCAGAUAUUUUACCUUGAGAAAAUUAGAGUGUUUCAGGCAGGCUAGGCCGGAAUAUAUUAGCAUGGAAUAAUGGAAUAGGACUAUGGUCUCUUUGUUGGUUUGAGGGACUGCAGUAAUGAUUAAUAGGGAUAGUUGGGGGCAUUAGUAUUUAAUUGUCAGAGGUGGAAUUCUCAGAUUUGUUAAAGACUAACUUAUGCGAAAGCAUUUGCCAAGGAUGUUU
rnacentral:rRNA from 1 species